AUUGAACGCUGGCGGCAGGCCUAACACAUGCAAGUCGAACGAGUGGCGGACGGGUGAGUAAUGUCUGGGAAACUGCCCGAUGUAGGGGGAUAACUACUGGAAACGGUAGCUAAUACCGCAUACCCUCGGAUGUGCCCAGAUGGGAUUAGCUAGCAGGUGGGGUAACGGCUCACCUAGGCGACGAUCCCUAGCUGGUCUGAGAGGAUGACCAGCCACACUGGAACGGAGACACGGUCCAGAGUCCUACGGGAGGCAGCAGUGGGGAAUAUUGGACAAUGGACGAAAGCCUGAUGCAGCAAUGCCGCGUGUAUGAAGAAGGCCUUCGGGUUGUAAAGUACUUUCAGCGAGGAGGCGUUACUCGCAGAAGAAGCACCGGCUAACUCCGUGCCAGCAGCCGCGGUAAUUC
rnacentral:rRNA from 1 species